rnacentral:rRNA from 1 species
UACUGGGCGUAAAGCGCAUGCAGGUGGUUUGUUAAGUCAGAUGUGAAAGCCCGGGGCUCAACCUCGGAAUUGCAUUUGAAACUGGCAGACUAGAGUACUGUAGAGGGGGGUAGAAUUUCAGGUGUAGCGGUGAAAUGCGUAGAGAUCUGAAGGAAUACCGGUGGCGAAGGCGGCCCCCUGGACAGAUACUGACACUCAGAUGCGAAAGCGUGGGGAGCAAACAGGAUUAGAUACCCUGGUAGUCCACGCCGUAAACGAUGUCUACUUGGAGGUUGUGGCCUUGAGCCGUGGCUUUCGGAGCUAACGCGUUAAGUAGACCGCCUGGGGAGUACGGUCGCAAGAUUAAAACUCAAAUGAAUUGACGGGGGCCCGCACAAGCGGUGGAGCAUGUGGUUUAAUUCGAUGCAACGCGAAGAACCUUACCUACUCUUGACAUCCAGAGAACUUUCCAGAGAUGGAUUGGUGCCUUCGGGAACUCUGAGACAGGUGCUGCAUGGCUGUCGUCAGCUCGUGUUGUGAAAUGUUGGGUUAAGUCCCGCAACGAGCGCAACCCUUAUCCUUGUUUGCCAGCGAGUAAUGUCGGGAACUCCAGGGAGACUGCCGGUGAUAAACCGGAGGAAGGUGGGGACGACGUCAAGUCAUCAUGGCCCUUACGAGUAGGGCUACACACGUGCUACAAUGGCGCAUACAGAGGGCGGCCAACUUGCGAAAGUGAGCGAAUCCCAAAAAGUGCGUCGUAGUCCGGAUUGGAGUCUGCAACUCGACUCCAUGAAGUCGGAAUCGCUAGUAAUCGUGGAUCAGAAUGCCACGGUGAAUACGUUCCCGGGCCUUGUACACACCGCCCGUCACACCAUGGGAGUGGGCUGCAAAAGAAGUAGGUAGUUUAACCUUCGGGGGGACGCUUACCACUUUGUGGUUCAUGACUGGGGUGAAGUCGUAACAAGGUAGCGCUAGGGGAACCUGGCGCUGGAUCACCUCCUUAAACGAUGAU